rnacentral:rRNA from 1 species
AUUGAACGCUGGCGGCAGGCCUAACACAUGCAAGUCGAGCGAGCGGCGGACGGGUGAGUAAUGUAUGGGGACUGCCCGAUAGAGGGGGAUAACUACUGGAAACGGUAUCUAAUACCGCAUACUAUCGGAUAACCCAUAUGGGAUUAGCUAGUAGGUGAGGUAAUGGCUCACCUAGGCGACGAUCCCUAGCUGGUCUGAGAGGAUGAUCAGCCACACUGGGACUGAGACACGGCCCAGACUCCUACGGGGGCAGCAGUGGAGAAUAUUGCACAAUGGGAGCAAGCCGGAUGCAGCCAUGCAGCGUGUAUGAAGAAGGCCCUAGGGUUGUAAAGUAAUUUCAGUCGGGAGGCGUUACCGACAGGAGAAGCAACGGCUAACUACGUGCCAGCAGCCGCGGUAAUAC